rnacentral:rRNA from 1 species
UAACCUACGGGGGGCAGCAGUAGGGAAUUUUCGUCAAUGGGCGCAAGCCUGAACGAGCAAUGCCGCGUGAACGAGGAAGGUCUUCGGAUCGUAAAGUUCUGUUGAAGGGGAAAAAGAGCGGAGAGAGGAAAUGAACUCCGAUUGAUAUUACCCUUCGAGGAAGUCACGGCUAACUACGUGCCAGCAGCCGCGGUAAUACGUAGGUGGCGAGCGUUAUCCGGAUUUAUUGGGUUUAAAGGGUGCGUAGGCGGUUUUUUAAGUUAGUGGUUAAACGUCGGGGCUUCACCU